GACGAACGCUGGCGGCGUGCUUAACACAUGCAAGUCGAACGAUGAAGAAGAGAAACGCGAACUUCGGUUCCAAUUUCACUUCGGAUUAGUGGCAGACGGGUGAGUAACGCGUGAGCAACCUACCUCUUACAAAGGGAUAGCCUCGGGAAACCGUGAUUAAUACCAUAUGACACAUUCAUAAGGCAUCUUAAGAAUGUUAAAGCUACGGCGGUAAGAGAUGGGCUCGCGUCCCAUUAGCUAGUUGGUGAGGUAACGGCCCACCAAGGCGACGAUGGGUAACCGGCCUGAGAGGGUGAACGGUCACCUUGGCACUGAGACACGGUCCAAACUCCUACGGGAGGCAGCAGUGGGGAAUAUUGCACAAUGGAGGGAACUCUGAUGCAGCGACGCCGCGUGAGCGAUGAAGGAAUUCGUUUCGUAAAGCUCUGUUCUAUGGGAAGAAAAGGACUGUACCAUAGGAGAAAGCCCCGGCUAAAUACGUG
rnacentral:rRNA from 1 species